CAUUUUCUGGGUCUUCGUGAACCGGCUUGGUGUGAUGGAACACUGGCCGCACGUACGGGAUGUGAACUGGAUUUCCGGGAAAGAUCACCAGUGAGAUAACUAGCAUGCGGAAUACCAUCUGAUCGUCGUAACAUUAAUUUGGAUCCCUACCGAACAAAAGUCUGCUGUGGUUUACUUAGUCAGCUCCUCAUAUCGGUAAUAUCAAGAUUGGCAAAAUUUUCGGAAAUUUCGUUUUAUCCAAAGUAACAUAACACGCAAGCAUUUUGCAUUAUUUCCAAUUAAAAAUAUUUACCUAUUUCUACAUAAAAAUUUAAUCAAGUUGAUCGAUCGUACGAGUUGAGUAGCUACAAACAAACAUUUCACUUGGUUGAUGCGCCAGUGAAGGUAAUUGGUUCUAUUGUAUUAUUUAUCACGAUCACACUUUCUUUUAUCCUUCGGACCUUGCAUACCAACAAUUUGUUACUGCUCUACAUGCACAGAAAUCUAAGGAAUAGUAAAAAGUGAAAUUGUGUAUACUACGAUAUUCAUGCCAUGCAACAGUUACAAGGUUUGUUUUCAAUGUUAUGGUGAACGACCUCAUGCCAGCACCUUUACCAUUAGGAUGCGAUAAGCUUGCAACAAAAAUACACAUAUAGUGAAAACUUUAUGCAUAGAUACUCAUGUCGUUUACUUUUUCCACUGAAACGUUUUGCAUUAAUCUUGGGAAUUGGUGAACGUAAGAUAACCUAGCGUAAGGUUAUUAAAAAACACAUCGUUGAUCCUAAUAUAGGUACUUCCUUUACUUUCCAAGCUUGUUGUAUAAAAAGUUCUGCACUAAAUGACUAUACAUUAGUGAAAUGUUAUACACUCUAGUCUGCUUCGUAAUACAAAAUUAUAAUGUUGUAACAAACAAACAUUUAUUGCAUUCGUAAAAUAGCCAAGAAAUUUUAAUUGACUAUAGGAACAAUAUUGCACGAUAAGUCAGCUAGGCGCAGAGCAUAUUUAUGCAGCAUGGUAAUUUUAUUAUUAUUCAAUAAUGUCGGGGCCCUAUCUACUUUUUACAAAUAAGCCGAGCAAUUAUGGCUUUCACUAUGAACAAUGGCAACUAAUGCAGCGUGACUCUAGGGAGGUCAUCGAGCUCAUUAUUGUCCCCUAAGUGCUUGUUAACCAUAGAUCUGACUGCACUUACUCGAUGUAAACGAUUUCCAUUUCUUUCAAGUGCAAGUUUUCCAACGCAUAGACAUAAACAAUAUAAGCUUAUUUAAUACAUCGAUAUGCUGUGAACUGUAUCACUUGCUGUUUAUAGCCUGAAAAGUAUUGCAUUACAUGAUUUCUCUUGGGCGCACGAGCGCGCAUCAUUUUACUGACCAAGACCGAGGAAAUUAGUGCGCGACGUGAGAUGUCUGCUUUUCCGAUCCGCAUUCCAUCAUAUCAUAGGCAGUUUUUGCACAGAUAAACACAUAACGAUCUAUACAGAGACCAUUGUUACCUAUAUGAUAAAUCACAUUAAA